GCAAACUUGGUCAUUUAGAGGAAGUAAAAGUCGUAACAAGGUUUCCGUAGGUGAACCUGCGGAAGGAUCAUUAAAGUAUCUCCUCGGGAGGGAGGCGAGCCCUGCUCCGACCCUGUACAACUACAGGGUUGUGCAGCGGGCGAACCGACCGACCGAAACCUUACAAACCCCCUGUGCACUUCAGCGGCAGAGGGAUCCCUGGGCGAGAGCUCGGGGGACCCGAAACCGUUACCUUUACAAACACUAUUGAAAAGAAUGCGUUGCGGCCGUUGCGUCGCCUAACAAACGAAACAACUUUCAACAACGGAUCUCUUGGCUCUCGCAUCGAUGAAGAACGCAGC
rnacentral:misc_RNA from 1 species